CCCUUAGAUGUUCUGGGCAGCACGCGCGCUACAAUGGUCUUCGCAAACGGAUGCAUUCUCGAAGGAGAAUGCCAAUCUUGGAAUCUAUGCCUUGGUCGGGACAGUUGCUUGCAAUUUUUCGACUCGAACCAGGAAUUCCUUGUAAUCGUGAUUCAUCACAUCACGAUGAAUACGUCCCUGCCCUUUGUACACACCGCCCGUCGCUCCUACCGAUCGAAGAGUUAGGUGAAUUGUUUUGAUCGAUAAGAUUUGACUAAGGUCAACUCUCGUUGUGAAAUUCUGUGAAUCUGACUGUUUAGAGGAAGGAAAAGUCGUAACA
rnacentral:rRNA from 1 species